GACGAACGCUGGCGGCGUGCUUAACACAUGCAAGUCGAACGGACAGACAGAGAGCUUGCUCUCUUGAAGUUAGUGGCGAACGGGUGAGUAACGCGUAAUCAACCUGCCCUUCAGAGGGGGAUAACAACGGGAAACCGUUGCUAAUACCGCGUACGAUUCAUGAACGGCAUCGUUUAUGAAUGAAAGGUGGCCUCUAUGUAUAAGCUAUCGCUGAAGGCGGGGAUUGCGUCUGAUUAGCUAGUUGGAGGGGUAACGGCCCACCAAGUCAAUGAUCAGUAGCCGGGCGAGGAGGAUGAACGGCCACGUUGGGACUGAGACACGGCCCAAACUCCUACGGGAGGCAGCAGUGGGGAAUCGUCCGCAAUGGACGAAGGUCUGACGGAGCAACGCCGCGUGAGUGAUGAAGGUCUUCGGAUUGUAAAGCUCUGUUAAUCGGGACGAAAGAGUUCUGCGUGAAUAAUGCAGAAAAGUGACGGUACCGGAAUAGAAAGCCACGGCUAACUACGUGCCAGCCGCCGCAGUAA
rnacentral:rRNA from 1 species